rnacentral:rRNA from 1 species
AAGAUGAGUCAUCCCUGACUAUAAGUCAAUAAAGACCGUUGAAGACUACGACGUUGAUAGGCUGGAUGUGGAAGCACCGUGAGGUGUGAAGCUUGCCAGUACUAAUACUCUGAACGUCUUGACCA